rnacentral:rRNA from 1 species
UACGUAGGGUGCGAGCGUUGUCCGGAAUUAUUGGGCGUAAAGAGCUCGUAGGCGGUGUGUCACGUCGGCCGUGAAAACCUGCAGCUUAACUGUGGGCGUGCGGUCGAUACGGGCAUCACUGGAGUUCGGCAGGGGAGACUGGAAUUCCUGGUGUAGCGGUGAAAUGCGCAGAUAUCAGGAGGAACACCGGCGGCGAAGGCGGGGUCUCUGGGCCGAUACUGACGCUGAGGAGCGAAAGCGUGGGGGAGCAAACAGG